rnacentral:lncRNA from 1 species
GAUCUUUGAUCAUGUCAACGGCAUUCCAUCGGAGUGUUCACGGCAUUGUUGGGGUCAAGCUAUCUAGUCAUGUAGGCAUAUGAAUGCACAACAAGGGAUCUCUAGCCUUCCAUGGUGGAAGGAGAAUACUCUAAGAUAUGAUUCGUAAGUCUUUGGCCAAAGCAAAUGAAUAUGACUUAGGAAGUUUGUUCGAAUUCAUAUUCAAAGGAAUCAUAUAGAAAAGUAUCACAUUGGAUAGUAGACAUGAAA